GCGAGACUGACGUCCUUGGUUCUCCUGACGUGCUGAUCACCAAAUUCCAAAUAGGAUUUCAUGGGCACUCCUCUGCACGGCCAACUUCAGUACUUUGUCAGGUUACCGUUUCAACUGCACAGCUUUCAGUGAGAGGUUCUCUUCCCGAGCCGCAGGCACACGCAAUCAUCAAGAAGACUACAGCUUUUAGCUAAAAGCCCUCACACUUUGCAUGGCAUACUGUGUUCUGCUGCCAACUCAUCAGCUUUUCUAAGUGAAGUGGAGCUGCCUUCAAGCUGAAGAAGGGAACUAAAUUGGCUUGCAGAGGAAUCCAACAGCUGCCAACAGUAGCACAAGAUUCUUCAAACUAUAUACAAACUCAGCUUAGAAGCCUGCAUUUCGGGAUUACCAGGUAAGUCCCCCUGACAUACCUAACUCUACCUUUUAUGUAGGCAGUCAGUAGCAAUACCAAGACACCCACCCAUCUGAAUUAGAUUCAGUUCAACACUUGUAUGCAAUUUUUUUGUAAUCAGUCUUUUUUAAAAAGGGGAAAUCAUGAACCCCACAGAAGUAAAGUAUG